rnacentral:rRNA from 1 species
GGAUUAGAUACCCUGGUAGUCCACGCCGUAAACGAUGUCUACUAGCAGCUCGCCUCGUUAGAGGGGUUUUGCGCAGCUAACGCGUUAAGUAGACCGCCUGGGGAGUACGGCCGCAAGGUUAAAACUCAAAUGAAUUGACGGGGGCCCGCACAAGCGGUGGAGCAUGUGGUUUAAUUCGAAGCAACGCGAAGAACCUUACCAACUCUUGACAUCCAGAGAACUCGCUAGAGAUAGCUUGGUGCCUUCGGGAACUCUGAGACAGGUGCUGCAUGGCUGUCGUCAGCUCGUGUUG